rnacentral:rRNA from 1 species
GACGAACGCUGGCGGCGUGCUUAACACAUGCAAGUCGAACGGAAAGGCCCUGCUUUUGUGGGGUGCUCGAGUGGCGAACGGGUGAGUAACACGUGAGUAACCUGCCCUUGACUUUGGGAUAACUUCAGGAAACUGGGGCUAAUACAGGAUAGGAGCUCCUGCUGCAUGGUGGGGGUUGGAAAGUUUCGGCGGUUGGGGAUGGACUCGCGGCUCAUCAGCUUGUUGGUGGGGUAGUGGCGUACCAAGGCUUUGACGGGUAGCCGGACUGAGAGGGUGACCGGCCACAUUGGGACUGGGGUACGGGCCAGACUCCUACUGGAGGCAUCGGUGGAGGACAUUGCACGAUGGGCGGAGGCCGGAUGCAGCAACGCCGCGUGCUGGAUGACGGCCGUCGGGUAGUAACCCGCUUUCGCCUGUGACGAAGCGUGAGUGACGGUAAUGGGUAAAGAAGCACCGGCUAACUACGUG